rnacentral:rRNA from 1 species
AGCUCCAAUAGCGUAUAUUAAAGUUGUUGCAGUUAAAAAGCUCGUAGUUGGAUUUCUGAUGAGGAUGGCGGUCCGUGUAUAUUAAUACAUGUGUACCGUUCAAUUUAAAAAUUUUCAUCAUAUUUGUAUUUAUAUGGUUUACUAUAUGGAUACAUCAUUUACUGUGAACAAAUUAGAGUGUUUAAAGCAGGCAAUCGCUUGAAUACUUCAGCAUGGAAUAAUAAGAUAGGACUUGGGUGCUAUUUUGUUGGUUGCGUACCGAAGUAAUGAUUAAUAGGGAUAGUUGGGGGUAUUCAUAUUUCAUUGUCAGAGGUGAAAUUCUUGGAUUUAUGAAAGAUGAACAACUGCGAAAGCAUUUACCAAGGAUGUUUUCAUUA